UACGGAGGAUGCGAGCGUUAUCCGGAUUUAUUGGGUUUAAAGGGUGCGUAGGCGGACUGUCAAGUCAGCGGUAAAAUUGAGAGGCUCAACCUCUUCCCGCCGUUGAAACUGGUGGUCUUGAGUGGAUGAGAAGUACGCGGAAUGCGUGGUGUAGCGGUGAAAUGCAUAGAUAUCACGCAGAACUCCGAUUGCGAAGGCAGCGUACCGGCAUCCAACUGACGCUGAGGCUCGAAAGCGUGGGGAGCAAACAGG
rnacentral:rRNA from 1 species